rnacentral:rRNA from 1 species
UACGUAGGUGGCAAGCGUUGUCCGGAAUUAUUGGGCGUAAAGCGCGCGCAGGUGGUUCUUUAAGUCUGAUGUGAAAGCCCACGGCUCAACCGUGGAGGGUCAUUGGAAACUGGGGAACUUGAGUGCAGAAGAGGAAAGUGGAAUUCCAAGUGUAGCGGUGAAAUGCGUAGAGAUUUGGAGGAACACCAGUGGCGAAGGCGACUUUCUGGUCUGUAACUGACGCUGAGACACGAAAGCGUGGGUAGCAAACAGG